ACCUUCCGAUAAUCGACUUUCGUUGAUAAUAAGAAUUAAGGAAGCCUGACCUUGGGAUUUCGAAAAGAACCUCAAUUGAGAUGACUCCGACUUCUAUAUCGACAAACUCAGCAUCCCAAGACUGAUCUCUAUGGACUGAUUAUAUGAACAGAAAACCAAAUCCUCAAACCCGGAACAAAACUGAUGAACCCGGAACCCGAUUUCGAAAGGAAUCACUGAGACAAAUGAACCUAAAACCCCAAAAAAAUGAUAGGACAUCUAAGCCCAGCGUAGACCGAGCUUCGGUGAGCUCCGGCGAUAGUAGGAACAAUGGGUCAAGACAAAUUCCAGAACGUUUCGACAUUUUCAGGUCGGAUUUGCUCAGAAAUAAAAGGGAACAGAGAAAUCUCAAGCUUUUGAGAGCUGGAAUGGUCGCCCAACGAAUCAAAAAUCAAUUUUGACUAACGUUGCGCCGGAAAAACUCAAAACAGAGACUGAAUCUCACCGGAAGACUCGAAACAAGACCAAAUCUCUUACCUGCUCAUUAUUCCGAUCAUUCUCUUCCCCUUUCUAAUCUGUUUUCGAUCUUUUCUCUUUUGUUUUUGGCCUUCUCCGUCUCUUCUCUCCAAUGUUCUCUAAUUCAAUCGCCUCACCGUUUUUUCGCCGACCUCACUGUGUGC
rnacentral:lncRNA from 1 species